UUUUUUUCCAGGCUAGUCAGGAGGGAUUCUGGGUAUGUCCUGAGGCUGUGAACUUUGGGCCCGUGACCCGACUAGGUCCCAGGUGGAGGCUUUAGGGAGGGUCAUGGAAUGGUGCAAAGGGCUUGGCUGGGAGACCCCAGACAAAACCAGACAUGAACCAUCUCCAGUUUGCAGCCUCCUCCUCCAUUAAUAGAGGACAUGUGGAUUAAAUGAAUCCCCAAGAGGCCCCUAUAGCUCCCAAACCUGGAAUUCUGGGGCAGGGUUAACAUCUCCUCCUGGGUGACAAAUACUCCUGGGGGGAGGCCAUAUUUGCGAGGAACUGUGGCCAUGAGCAGCUGGAAAGUUCUGUCCAGAAUGGAGCCUUUGUUGGCUGCUCCUGGCGGGUGCUUAGAGUACCCUCAAGUCGGAGUGGGGGGAGAAUUCCAGCCGUGGGUAAUAAGCAAGUGCUUUCCAUGUCCCAGGAUCUUUCCAUGCAUGAUCUCAUCUGAUACAAGCCUGCCCCAUGAGGUGGACACCUCCAUUAUGCUGAGUUUAUGGAUGGAGAAACUGAGGCCAAGUCACCCCCACUCCCCGCUGGGCUUCCCCAAGCCCUGGUGGUCUUCACCAGGAAGUUACUCUAACCUCUAUGAGGGGGAGUGUGUUCAUUCACUCCAGAUGCAUUAGUGGGGUUACCCUGUAGAUGUCUGACCUCGAGCUCGGCUUUGAGCAAAUGGGUAGCUGAGGCAGUGUGCGUGCCCCCCCCCAGGACUUUGCAGCCUGGAUGAGGGAGGGCUGCCUACACUCGGAAAGAGAUGAGAGAGCACAUGGGAACUAUCAAAGAGGCGGGGUGGAGCCUGCCCUAGGUGGGCCUUGCCCAUGUCCCAUCACCACCUGCCCCUGCCAGGCCCACGGCCCCGCUGCGGUUAGGGAGUGGGAGAUGGUUAUGGGGAUGAGGCCAGGCUUGCAAAAUGCCUGGUGGGCUGAGCGGAGCUGGCUUGGGAUUUUGGACCAUGAGGCCUUAACCAGGGAGCUGACGAUAUCUUUCUCUCCGUCUCCUGAAGGAUCAUUAUCCGCUUUCUUCCCCUGGAGCCCUGGCAGAUUGGCAAGAAGGGGACGGUCAUGACUUUCUUGUGACUGUCACGGAGGGUGCUAAAGGCGUCUGCAAGACAAUCUCUUCGAGAGUGAGGCCUGGGGCUCCAGGAAUGGGAUUAAGACACACCCUGGGCAAGCCUCAGCUGAAAUAACUCACCUACAGCAAAACGUCUCACCUACAGCAGGUCUGCACCCACAGGAAUGGAUUAAAAGAACAUGGCCUUUUCUGGGGUCCAUACAGCCUCCAAACUACCACAGCAGUUUACAGUUUAAUAAAUUGAGUUUCCAAUGAAA